AGGCUUAACACAUGCAAGUCGAGCGGAAACGAAGAAAAGCUUGUUUUUCAGGCGUCGAGCGGCGGACGGGUGAGUAACGCGUAGGAAUCUGCCUAGUAGUGGGGGACAACCUGUGGAAACGCAGGCUAAUACCGCAUAAUCCCUGAGGGGGAAAGGAGGGGAUCUUCGGACCUUUCGCUAUUAGAUGAGCCUGCGUGAGAUUAGCUAGUUGGUGAGGUAAAGGCUCACCAAGGCGACGAUCUCUAGCUGGUCUGAGAGGAUGAUCAGCCACACUGGGACUGAGACACGGCCCAGACUCCUACGGGAGGCAGCAGUGGGGAAUAUUGGACAAUGGGCGCAAGCCUGAUCCAGCCAUACCGCGUGUGUGAAGAAGGCCUUAGGGUUGUAAAGCACUUUCAGAAGGGAGGAAAGGUUAAUGUUUAAUACGCAUUAGCUGUGACGUUACCUUCANAAGAAGCACCGGCUAACUCUGUGCCAGCAGCCGCGG
rnacentral:rRNA from 1 species